GCAUCUUCGGAUGUGUAUAAAGUGGCGAACGGCUGAGUGACACGUGGGCAACCUGCCCUUUGCACUGGGAUAGCCUCGGGAAACCGAGGUUAAUACCGGAUACUCCAUAUCCAUCGCAUGAUAGAUAUAGGAAAGCUCCGGCGGCAAAGGAUGGGCCCGCGGCCUGUUAGCUAGUUGGUGGGGUAGUGGCCUACCAAGGCAAUGAUGGGUAGCCGGGUUGAGAGACCGACCGGCCAGAUUGGGACUGAGACACGGCCCAGACUCCUACGGGAGGCAGCAGUGGGGAAUCUUGCACAAUGGGCGAAAGCCUGAUGCAGCGACGCCGCGUGCGGGAUGAAGGCCUUCGGGUUGUAAACCGCUUUCAGCAGGGACGAGGCCGCAAGGUGACGGUACCUGCAGAAGAAGCCCCGGCUAACUACGUGCCAGCAGCCGCGGUAAUACGUAGGGGGCAAGCGUUAUCCGGAUUCAUUGGGCGUAAAGCGCGCGUAGGCGGUCUGUUAGGUCAGGAGUCAAAUCUGGGGGCUCAACCCCUAUCCGCUCCUGAUACCGGCAGGCUUGAGUCUGGUAUGGGAAGGUGGAAUUCCAAGUGUAGCGGUGAAAUGCGCAGAUAUUUGGAAGAACACCAGUGGCGAAGGCGGCCUUCUGGGCCAUGACUGACGCUGAGGCGCGAAAGCUAGGGGAGCGAACAGGAUUAGAUACCCUGGUAGUCCUAGCUGUAAACGAUGGA
rnacentral:rRNA from 1 species